CGUCGUGAUCUCGCCGGAGGUCCUCUGUAUAGAUGUAAACGAGAAUCGAGUGCUUCUUGCCUUACACUGCCGGGCCCCUUUCAUCCCUCCUCCUCCGUCUCCGAAUCCGCGUCUAGCCCUAAUCUUGGAUGAGAAGCCUUCCGCCGAUCUGAAGCACUUUCAUCUUGAUUUCUUGAUUGGGUUUCACUGAGAUAUGGGUCCUGCAAGUACCCUAUCUUGCCUUGUGAGGUUCCUUAUGAGGAUUUUUCGUUCUGGAAGAGUGAGGAGGACAUGAUACAUGCGCAAUUACAUGGGACAAAAUGUGUGUUCUGCUUGUUACCGCUCUUACCUUAUUGUUUUGAUGGUUUAGGAUGCACUUGUUCUGUGAUCAAGAUGAUCGGUUGGCUUUGAUUGCCUGGUUGGCAGCGGCAUCCUGUGCUGCCGCUUGUCUGGAUGUGGAAGACCCUUGGGAUGGCCAACGAUGAUGAUUGGCAAGUGAGGCAUGUUCAUUACUAGUUCCUACCACUCUCACCUCUCUUUUCUUUGCUGUUCAUUACGCUUGCUAGUCGCCAUGCCAUUUUAUUCCAGUCAAUGUUCAAAGGCAUAUCUUUAGCUUACUAUUCUCAGAUGAACCUUCUAAUAAAUGGUGCAGAUUCAUGUUGAACAGGUCAGUUUCGGAAGACAUCCAGUCAGCUAAUGGUAUUUCUUUCAUUUUCUGCAUUAAAAGUUAUGCAUCUCGAAGCAGGUAGAUGUCAGAGUCGAGCUCCCUGAGGAGGGAGGUGGGGGCAGUAUGGAGUCAUGGGUGAGUCGAGACUGUGCACUGCUGCCUCCACCAGUGCUAAGUUCUCGUAAUAAAUAUGCAGAGAAUGGAAUAGCUUUGUAAAAUCUUGAGAUAUCUCGUCUUUACAAACAAUGGAAGCGCUCUCGAUACAUGCAUCCUAUAUUGUGGAAAGCCACAAAGUAUCGUGACACUCAAAAAGAAAGGAAACCUUCUCGGAUCUUCUUCAAA